rnacentral:rRNA from 1 species
ACGAACGCUGGCGGCUGCUUAACACAUGCAAGUCGAACGGAGUGGCGCACGGGUGAGUAACGCGUGAGCAACCUGCCUAUGACAGUGGGAUAGCCUCGGGAAACCGGGAUUAAUACCGCAUAGUCAUAGAUGGGCUCGCGUCUGAUUAGCUAGUUGGUGAGAUAACAGCCCACCAAGGCGACGAGCAGGAGCCGGUCUGAGAGGCUGAGCGGCGACUUUGGAACUGAGACACGGUCCAAACUCCUACGGGAGGCAGCAGUGGGGAAUAUUGCACAAUGGGGGAAGCCCUGAUGCGGCGACGCCGCGUGAACGAAGAAGGUAUUCGUAUCGUAAAGUUCUGUCCUAUGAGAAGCAGUACCAAAGAAGAAAGCACCGGCUAAAUACGUGCCAGCAGCCGCGGUAAUUC